rnacentral:misc_RNA from 1 species
AAAGUCGUAACAAGGUUUCCGUAGGUGAACCUGCGGAAGGAUCAUUAAUAAUAACCUGUGGGCUAAUUCGUUAGCCACACUAACAACACCUUGUGAACUUGUACUAGUGACAAAUAUGUAUGUAUGUAUAUAUUUGUCAUUGGAAACAAACACCUUUGUAUCUUUGUAGACUUAAAAAAAACACUAAUUAUAUACAACCUUUAACAAUGGAUCUCUUGGCUCCU